rnacentral:rRNA from 1 species
AGAGUUUGAUCAUGGCUCAGGACGAACGCGGGCGGCGUGCUUAACACAUGCAAGUCGAACGGAAAGGCCCUUCGGGGUACUCGAGUGGCGAACGGGUGAGUAACACGUGGGUGAUCUGCCCUGCACUUUGGGAUAAGCCUGGGAAACUGGGUCUAAUACCGAAUAGGACCACACGCUUCAUGGUGUGUGGUGGAAAGCUUUUGCGGUGUGGGAUGGGCCCGCGGCCUAUCAGCUUGUUGGUGGGGUAAUGGCCUACCAAGGCGACGACGGGUAGCCGGCCUGAGAGGGUGACCGGCCACACUGGGACUGAGAUACGGCCCAGACUCCUACGGGAGGCAGCAGUGGGGAAUAUUGCACAAUGGGCGCAAGCCUGAUGCAGCGACGCCGCGUGAGGGAUGACGGCCUUCGGGUUGUAAACCUCUUUCAAUAGGGACGAAGCGCAAGUGACGGUACCUAUAGAAGAAGCACCGGCCAACUACGUGCCAGCAGCCGCGGUAAUACGUAGGGUGCGAGCGUUGUCCGGAAUUACUGGGCGUAAAGAGCUCGUAGGUGGUUUGUCGCGUUGUUCGUGAAAACUCACAGCUUAACUGUGGGCGUGCGGGCGAUACGGGCAGACUAGAGUACUGCAGGGGAGACUGGAAUUCCUGGUGUAGCGGUGGAAUGCGCAGAUAUCAGGAGGAACACCGGUGGCGAAGGCGGGUCUCUGGGCAGUAACUGACGCUGAGGAGCGAAAGCGUGGGGAGCGAACAGGAUUAGAUACCCCGGUAGUCC